GUUAGUUUGACAUGACCUGUGCUUCAUAAAACCAUGCUGAUUUUUGCUGAUAACCAUGUUCUUCUCAAGGAAUUCUUGAGAAUUCACUUCACUUAUUGAUCUUGAGAAAGGUCCACAUAAGGGUCGAAAUGAUUUUUUUUACUAAUAUGCAAUAAAAAAUAACGAGUUUAUUCACAAAAAUCCCCUGGAGUACACCCUCUUUAUUUUGGAUUAUUUACUAAAUGUGGACAGCACCGGGGUAAAGGUUUGUCUUUAUACUUUAAAGGUGAGUGCCAAGCCUUUAGAUCUACGUGUUUCGUUUCAAUUAUGAAACUUUAUGAAGGUCUACAUACAUACCUGCUUUGGCUGUUUCUCUGGC